AUCACUAUCUCCUUCUUCCCAAACAUCAAGUAUACAUAAAAAGUGAUGAAAGUAAUGAGGAACCAUUAAAAAAAUAUAUAUCCUGUCACUGUUUUCCAAUGGACGUCUCAGGUUGUCCUGGAUUAUUUCAGGAGAGAUUAAGACAUCUAAAAGUGGAAACUUGGUUUCCUGGCUUCUAAAGCUGUGAGAAGCAAUGAUUUUCUGGAGAAGAAAAAGAAAGUGCCAAGAAAAGGAACUUUGGGCGCUUAAAUGCUACAACAACGCACUUUGGAAGUGUGAGGGAGCAGCCAGAGCCAUGCAAGUGCCGUUUGCUCUUCCUGCGCGUACCGAGCUGGAGGCUCCCAGUCCCUGUGCCACUUCUCAGUUCCUCAGGGUUUCGCGUCUGCUGCCAGCUGUGCCCAGGGCUCCUGCUGUGUGCUGGAGCAAGUCCUUCGUCAGGCAUCGAGGGGAAGGACUUGGGAAGUUUCCAUAUCUGGGGCUGAGCCCCGAUGCCUGGUGUGCUGGAUUCAUCAUACACCAGCAGCACAACGAUCAUCCACUUCAUUC